rnacentral:rRNA from 1 species
GAUGAACGCUGGCGGCGUGCCUAAUACAUGCAAGUCGAGCGAACAGACGAGGAGCUUGCUCCCCUGACGUUAGCGGCGGACGGGUGAGUAACACGUGGAUAACCUACCUAUAAGACUGGGAUAACUUCGGGAAACCGGAGCUAAUACCGGAUAAUAUAUUGAACCGCAUGGUUCAAUAGUGAAAGACGGCUUUGCUGUCACUUAUAGAUGGAUCCGCGCCGCAUGAGCUAGUUGGUAAGGUAACGGCUUACCAAGGCAACGAUGCGUAGCCGACCUGAGAGGGUGAUCGGCCACACUGGAACUGAGACACGGUCCAGACUCCUACGGGAGGCAGCAGUAGGGAAUCUUCCGCAAUGGGCGAAAGCUUGACGGAGCAACGCCGCGUGAGUGAUGAAGGUCUUCGGAUCGUAAAACUCUGUUAUUAGGGAAGAACAAAUGUGUAAGUAACUAUGCACGUCGUGACGGUACCUAAUCAGAAAGCCACGGCUAACUACGUG